AUGCUUCUUUUCCCCAGUCUAGCCCCAGGCCGGACUCCUGAUACCAGGCAGCUGUCCUGGAGGAAGUCGCCCCCUUGCACCACCCAGGGAGAGCGGGGGCCUGCUGUGAUGUCCCCUCCCCGGGACUCCGUGCACAAGCGGGGCAGCCCAGAGCCGGGAGGUCUGCGGCCGAGUCGGGAACACUGGCACCUACGAACGCCCUCUGCGGCCCUCCCCACGUGCUUUAACUGGGUCCGUGUCCCUGGGUCGUCCUGGCCUUACGCCCGCACACAGGAGUGUUUACCAGGGGGGUCCACGUUGCAACAGCACACGGGGCACGACCCACAGGGCUCUCGCCCGGUGCCCCGCCCCCCUCGCCCGCGCCGCCCCCGCGCCGCUCCGCGGUGCGCUCGGCCGCGGAGGCGCGGGCCGCUCCUGCCCUCUGUCGGCGCCCGGCGGCAGCGCGGUGCUCACCCCGGCCACAGGGCGGGCCCCAGCAGCCUCCAGGGCAGGCAGCCCAAGGGACCCGGCGGCGACACAGGACGGACCCCGGGGAAGGUCGGAGCCCCGGAGGUCAGCACAUUUCUGGGAGUCCCACUGGGUGCAAGUCCUGCCUGUGGGGCGCCCGGUGGCUCAGGGCUUCAGCAUCUGCCUUCGGCUCAGGCUGUGACCCUGGGGUCCCGGGAUGGAGUCCCACGUCGGGCUCCCUGCAUGGGGCCUGCUUCUCCCUCUGCCUGGGUCUCUCAUGAAUAAAUAAAUACAGUCUUUUUGGGGGGAUUUGUUUUGUUUUAAAAAUUUUAUUCCCCAGCCCCGUGCAGCUCCCCAUGCUGCCCGCCCUGUGCUUCCCCAGGGGAAGUGCACCGGCGCCCGCCCGGCCAGCCCGGCCGCCGUUCUGGUGCAGGGGUGCCCGGGGGAUCAGCUGGGAGCAGUGACGAUGGCCACGGAGCACCGUGUAAGUGUUCAGUUUUAUUGAGAUAAAAUUUACAUGCCCUAAAGCUCCCCACUUAAAAUACACGAUUCAGUGGGUUUAGCAUAUUUACAAAAUUGUGCAACCAUCAUCACUAAGGUUAGAACAUUCCCUACCACGCCCCACAAAAGAAUAACAUGUACUAGCAGUUCUUCCCAUUGCUCCGGAUCCCCCAGCCCUUGGCAACCAUCCAGAAACUUUCUGCAUCUAUUGGUUUACCUGUUCUGGACAUUUUGUGUAAAUGGAAUUAUACAGUAUUUGGUCUCUGGUGUCCAGCUUCUUUCACUGAGCAUUACAUCCUCAAGGUUCAUCCACGAUGUAGCAUGAGUCAGUAGUCCAUUCCUUUCUAUGGUUAAAUAAUAUUCCAUCCUAUGGUGGUUUUUUUGUUUUGUUUUGUUUUUGAUUUGCCUAUUCUGGGCAUUUUAUAUAAAUGAAAUAAUAUAAGUGUGGCCUUUUAUGUCUGGCUUCUUUCUUUUCUUUUUUUAAAAAUAGACUUUAUUUAUUUGAGACACAAAGAGAGCACAAGCAGGGCAGGGGAGGGGCAGAGGCAGAAGCAGACUCCCCACCAAACAGAGAGCCCAAUGUGGGGCUCCAUCUCAGGACCCCAGGAUCAUGACCUGAGCCAAAGGCAGAUGCUUAACCACUGAACUGCCCAGGCAUCCUUAUGUCUGGCUUCUUACACUCAGCAUAAUAUUUUCGAGGUUCAUGCAUGUGGCAUGAGUCAGUGCUCCCUUCCUUUUCAGGGCUGAAUAAUAUGCCAUUGUACACAUAGAUCACAUUUUACUUAUCCAUUUGUCACAUGAUGGACAUUUGGGUUGCUUCCACAUUUUGGCUAGAAAGCCAAAUCAUGCUGCCAUGAGCACGCAUGUACAAGUGUUUGUGUGCACAGCUGUUUCCAAUUCUCUUGGGUAAAUAAAUAUCUAGGAGUGAAUUGUCA
rnacentral:lncRNA from 12 species